AUUGAACGCUGGCGGCAGGCUUAACACAUGCAAGUCGAACGAGUGGCGGACGGGUGAGUAAUGCUUGGGAAUCUAGCUUAUGGAGGGGGAUAACUACGGGAAACUGUAGCUAAUACCGCGUACCAUAGGAUGAGCCCAAGUGGGAUUAGGUAGUUGGUGAGGUAAAGGCUCACCAAGCCGACGAUCUCUAGCUGGUCUGAGAGGAUGACCACCCACAGUGGGACUAAAGCACGGCCCAGACUCCUACGGUGGGCGGCUUUGGCGAAUAUUGCGAAAUGGGGGGAAGCGGACGUUGCCAUGCCGCGUGAAUGAAGAAGGCCUUCGGGUUGUAAAGUUCUUUCGGUAGCUAGGCGUUAACUACAGCAGAAGCACCGGCUAACUCCGUGCCAGCAGCCGCGGUAAUAC
rnacentral:rRNA from 1 species